rnacentral:rRNA from 1 species
CCUACGGGAGGCAGCAGUGAGGAAUAUUGGUCAAUGGGCGAGAGCCUGAACCAGCCAAGUCGCGUGAAGGAUGACGGCCCUACGGGUUGUAAACAUCUUUUGUCAGGGAGCAAUUGAGUCGGCGUGUGGGCUUAGCGAGAGUACCUGAAGACAAAACAUCGGCUAACUCGGUGCCAGCAGCCGCGGUAAUACGGAGGAUGCGAGCGUUAUCCGGAUUUAUUGGGUUUACAGGGUGCGUAGGCGGAAGUUCAAGUCAGCGGUAAAAAUUCGGGGCUCAACCCCGUCGUGCAGUUGAAACUGAUGUUCUUGAGUGGGCGAGAAGUAUGCGGAAUGCGUGGUGUAGCGGUGAAAUGCAUAGAUAUCACGCAGAACUCCGAUUGCGAAGGCAGCAUACCGGCGCCCAACUGACGCUGAAGCACGAAAGCGUGGGUAGCGAACAGGAUUAGAUACCCUUGUAGUC